CAACGCAUUGCCGGCAACUUAAUUAAAGCCCAGUUAGUGCGCAGGCCUCGACUGGGCCAGCCGUUCACUUCUCCUGGCUUUUCCUGGGACCCACGUCCUGGCAAGGUUCCUAAAAAUAGCUGCCAAACGGGACCUGUCUAGCGGAUGGUAUCAUAUAGCACGUCAGAGCCAAUGAACCGGCUGCCGAGAACUCGCCACUCCAAGUCUGCCUGACAACAAUCCCCUGCAGCCGGUUGACCUUAUGAUUUCAGCCGUUCCAGGCGAUCGACUGCUCUGGGACUUCUCUAAAUGGCAAAAAGUACAGAAGCGUUCAUUGGGCGUGAUUUUCCUGUUACAUGGGAUUGAUAUAAAUGUGGAAUUCAGCAGUGACAGUGAGCAAAAGAUGAUAAAAGUAAACAAAAUGAUUACGCAGACAACAAAGCGAUGAUAUCGUCACCUGCACCGGCACACAGAAAGAAAUUAGAUAAUUGAAGUAUUAUCAAUAUAUAUUCCAAUUACUCUGGUAUACAAAAGUGACUCAGUAUUUUUGUUUAUCAGAUAAAGCUGUACCCUCAACUAAUUUAAAUUGCUUCUAGAAAAAUGUUAGGGCUUUAAAGCAAUUACAUGUGUUUUAACUUUAAAUGAUUCAAUUACCUAACAAACCAACAGUAUAUUACAAAACAAUUUAAUCAAUGCAGAACCACAUACUGUUUGACUACUCAUGUAAGAAGUUAAAUAAUACUUUAAAAAUAUUCCAUAUGAAGAGGUAAUGGUAUGCAAAUAAUAUAGAUAAGCUGGAAGCCAAACAAUAUGCAACUGAAUAAUCAAUUUUUUUCUCUGUAACUGCUGGAUCUUUAUGACAAUGUGAAUUAUCCCGAUAAGCGGGCGGAACGAUAUCAUAAACGUACUUCCCAUAAAGCGGGAAUUUAAACUGUCUGAUGAAAUAAGCGCAACAUUUGCGUCAGCCCCGUCUAAAGAGAUAGUGAUUAAGAGAGCGCGAUCCUAUACUAAUAAUACCAUAUACUAAAAACUCAUUCUCUUGAGCGGUGGUCCCCAAAAUGGUCUCUCGGGUGAAGGUAACUACGAAAUAAUACACAUGCAGGCCAUAUGAUUUGUGGCUGAUUAGCAAAUGGGACUGAAUGAUAAAGCCUUUUGCGGCGGGUGGGAUGGGUGUGUUCAGUGUCCGGGCGUUUAGAUGUACGUAUGUGUUUUCGAGUGCCCUGCUUCUACGUGGGUGGGACUACAACAAUAUUUAUGAUAAUCGUAAUAUGUAACUUG